AACGAACGCUGGCGGCGUGCCUAACACAUGCAAGUCGAGCGAGAAAGUCCCGGCAACGGGACGAGUAAAGCGGCGAACGGGUGAGUAACGCGUAGGUAAUCUGUCCUUCGGAUCGGGAUAACCUGCUGAAAAGUGGGCUAAUACCGGGUAAUGUUCUUAUGGGGAUCCUGUGAGAACCAAAGGGGGCGAGCGUAAGCAGCUUUCACCAAAGGAGGAGCCCGCGUCCGAUUAGCUAGUUGGUGGGGUAAUGGCCUACCAAGGCGACGAUCGGUAGCCGGCCGGAGAGGGCGACCGGCCACACUGGAACUGAGACACGGUCCAGACUCCUACGGGAGGCAGCAGUGGGGAAUAUUGCGCAAUGGGCGAAAGCCUGACGCAGCGACGCCGCGUGGGUGAUGAAGGCCUUCGGGUCGUAAAGCCCUGUCGGGUGGAACGAAUGGCUUGGCGGCAAAUAACCGCUAGGCGUGACGGUACCACCGAAGGAAGCCCCGGCUAACUACGUGCCAGCCGCCGCAGUAAAAC
rnacentral:rRNA from 1 species